rnacentral:rRNA from 1 species
GGCGUAAAGAGCUCGUAGGCGGUUUGUCACGUCGUCUGUGAAAUCCCUCGGCUUAACCGGGGGCGUGCAGGCGAUACGGGCAGACUUGAGUACUACAGGGGAGACUGGAAUUCCUGGUGUAGCGGUGAAAUGCGCAGAUAUCAGGAGGAACACCGGUGGCGAAGGCGGGUCUCUGGGUAGUAACUGACGCUGAGGAGCGAAAGCAUGGGUAGCGAACAGGAUUAGAUACCCUGGUAGUCCAUGCCGUAAACGGUGGGCGCUAGGUGUGGGGUCCUUCCACGGACUCCGUGCCGUAGCUAACGCAUUAAGCGCCCCGCCUGGGGAGUACGGCCGCAAGGCUAAAACUCAAAGGAAUUGACGGGGGCCCGCACAAGCGGCGGAGCAUGUGGAUUAAUUCGAUGCAACGCGAAGAACCUUACCUAGGCUUGACAUAUACAGGACGACGGCAGAGAUGUCGUUUCCCUUGUGGCUUGUAUACAGGUGGUGCAUGGUUGUCGUCAGCUCGUGUCGUGAGAUGUUGGGUUAAGUCCCGCAACGAGCGCAACCCUGUCUCAUGUUGCCAGCACGUAAUGGUGGGGACUCGUGAGAGACUGCCGGGGUCAACUCGGAGGAAGGUGGGGAUGACGUCAAAUCAUCAUGCCCCUUAUGUCUAGGGCUUCACACAUGCUACAAUGGCUAGUACAGAGGGCUGCGAUACCGCGAGGUGGAGCGAAUCCCUUAAAGCUGGUCUCAGUUCGGAUUGGGGUCUGCAACUCGACCCCAUGAAGUCGGAGUCGCUAGUA